UCCCUGGAGGACUAAUGGUUAGGCCUCGUUGCUUUCAUUGCCACAGCCCUGGUUCAAUUCCUGGCCAUGGAA